GAUGAACGCUGGCGGCGUGCUUAACACAUGCAAGUCGAACGGUGAAGGCGGAGCUUGCUCUGCUGGAUCAGUGGCGAACGGGUGAGUAACACGUGAGCAAUCUGCCCCUGACUCUGGGAUAAGCGCUGGAAACGGCGUCUAAUACUGGAUACGAGCUGCGAAGGCAUCUUCAGCAGCUGGAAAGAAGUUCGGUCAGGGAUGAGCUCGCGGCCUAUCAGCUUGUUGGUGAGGUAAUGGCUCACCAAGGCGUCGACGGGUAGCCGGCCUGAGAGGGUGACCGGCCACACUGGGACUGAGACACGGCCCAGACUCCUACGGGAGGCAGCAGUGGGGAAUAUUGCACAAUGGGCGAAAGCCUGAUGCAGCAACGCCGCGUGAGGGAGGACGGCCUUCGGGUUGUAAACCUCUUUUAGCAGGGAAGAAGCGAAAGUGACGGUACCUGCAGAAAAAGCGCCGGCUAACUACGUG
rnacentral:rRNA from 1 species